UACGUAGGGUGCAAGCGUUGUCCGGAAUUAUUGGGCGUAAAGAGCUCGUAGGCGGUUUGUCGCGUCUGCUGUGAAAACUCGGGGCUUAACUCCGGGCCUGCAGUGGGUACGGGCAGACUAGAGUGCGGUAGGGGAGACUGGAAUUCCUGGUGUAGUGGUGAAAUGCGCAGAUAUCGGGAGGAACACCUGUGGCGAAAGCGGCGCACUGGACCACAACUGACGCUGAGGCGCGAAAGCUAGGGGAGCAAACAGG
rnacentral:rRNA from 1 species